CCUACGGGAGGCAGCAGGGAGGAAUAUUGGUCAAUGGACGAGAGUCUGAACCAGCCAAGUAGCGUGAAGGAUGACUGCCCUAUGGGUUGUAAACUUCUUUUAUAAAGGAAUAAAACGAGGCACGUGUGCCUUUUUGCAUGUACGUGAUGAAUAAGGAUCGGCUAACUCCGUGCCAGCAGCCGCGGUAAUACGGAGGAUCCGAGCGUUAUCCGGAUUUAUUGGGGUUAAGGGGAGCGUAGAUGGGUUGUGAAGUCAGUUGUGAAAGUUUGCGGCUCAACCGUAAAAUUGCAAUUGAUACUGGCCGUCUUGCGUCCAGUUGUGGUAAGCGGAAUUCGUGUUGUAGCGGUGAACUGCUUCGCUCUCAC
rnacentral:rRNA from 1 species